CCUACGGGAGGCUGCAGUGGGGAAUAUUGCACAAUGGGGGAAACUCUGAUGCAGCGACGCCGCGUGAGUGAAGAAGUAUUUCGGUAUGUAAAGCUCUAUCAGUAGGGAAGAAAAUGACGGUACCUGACUAAGAAGCUCUGGCUAACUACGUGCCAGCAGCCGCGGCAAUACGCAGGGUGCAAGCGUUAUCCGGAUUUACUGGGUGUAAAGGGAGCGUAGACGGCGGAACAAGUCAGAAGUGAAAACCCGGGGCUCAACCCUGGGAGUGCUUUUGAAACUGUUUGGCUGGAGUGCAGGAGAGGUAAGCGGAAUUCCUAGUGUAGCGGUGAAAUGCGUAGAUAUUAGGAAGAACACCAGUGGCGAAGGCAGCUUACUGGACUGUAACUGACGUUGAGGCUCGAAAGCGUGGGGAGCAAACAGGAUUAGAUACCCGGGUAGUC
rnacentral:rRNA from 1 species